AUGUAAUUGUAUAUAGAUCGAACAGCAGGCAAAAAUAGCCUAUAUAUCAAUUCUCUUCGUUAAAGGUGUAUGACUGUACAGAUACACAAAGAAAAAAAAAUAUAUAUAUAUCUAUGCCAAUUGUGCUGCUUAUUAAUGGUUGUAAUUACUGUAAUAUGUUGAAUGAUGUAAUUUAUGACCAAUUUACUAGAUAUUCAUGUAAUAUUAUUGGUGGUUGCUGUUGUAUUAUUUACUUCUGCACGUAAACAUGUAUCAUAUACGCUUCACUUUUCACCUGUGCCAAAUAUACUAUUAAAAUACAAAAAAUCAAAAAUAUUACGUUUAGAAGCUUU
rnacentral:misc_RNA from 1 species